CCUACGGGUGGCAGCAGUGAGGAAUCUUGGUCAAUGGCCGUAAGGCUGAACCAGCCAAGUCGCGUGAAGGAAGACGGAUCUAUGGUUUGUAAACUUCUUUUUUAGGGACAUAAAGGUAUGCACGUGUGGAUGUUUUCAUGUCCCCUAUCACUAUGCAUCGGCUAACUCCGGGCCAGCAGCCGCGGUAAUACGGAGGAUGCGAGCGUUAUCCGGAUUUAUUAGGUUUAAAGGGUGCGGAGGUUUCUUUUGAAGUGAGAAGGGAAAUUUUCGGACUCAACAAUAAAAUUGCAGUUGAAACUGGAAGACUUGAGUGUGUGUGAGGUAGACGGAAUGCGUAGGGUAGCGGUGAAAUGCAUAGAUAUCACGAAGAACUCCGAUGGCGAAGGCAGCUUACUAAGCCAUAACUGACACUGAAGCACGAAAGCGUGGGGAUCAAACAGGAUUAGAUACCCCUGUAGUC
rnacentral:rRNA from 1 species